UACGGGGGGGGCAAGCGUUGUUCGGAAUUACUGGGCGUAAAGGGCUCGUAGGCGGCCAACUAAGUCGGACGUGAAAUCCCCAGGCUCAACCUGGGAACUGCGUCCGAUACUGGAUGGCUUGAAUUCGGGAGAGGGAUGCAGAAUUCCAGGUGUAGCGGUGAAAUGCGUAGAUAUCUGGAGGAAUACCGGUGGCGAAGGCGGCAUCCUGGACCGGCAUUGACGCUGAGGAGCGAAAGCUAGGGGAGCAAACGGG
rnacentral:rRNA from 1 species